GUGUAACCUCGGUAGUUCCCCUCUCUGCGUACCGGCUUCCGCAUUAAUGGGCUGGGGUCCCACCGAGGCUGAGGGUCUGCGGCUCCGGGGUCCGAGGCUCCGGCGCGGUCAGCUCCUCGGCCCGCGUCCCUCCGCGCCCCCCAGGCCACCCGGCCAGGCCCCCAGCAAACGCGUGGACAUGAGGCGAGGGGUUCCUUUAAAGGCUUCCGCCCCGCCCCUGCUGCCGGCUCGGGCUUUCGAUUGGUGCAUCAGCCUCGGGGGCGGAGCUAGGGGCGGAGCCGGGACCGGUUCGGGGGCGGAGCCUCCGCCGGGCCGGCCCCCGCCCCCUUUGUUCGUGCGGCGGCGGGAGGCGCUGCGGGCUGGAGGUGCGCGCGCGGGAGCCGCGUCGUGGGGAGCGGGUCGCGCCCGGGCUGUCAGCUGGCUCCGCGCCGCCGCCCGAUGGCUCGAGGGGGCGCGCGGGCCCGGCCCCGGGGGUCCUCCGCCGGCCGCGUGUGAGCCCUCCGCCGGCCGCCCGCGAGCAUGUCACCUCCAGCCGCCGCAGCCUCCGUCCGCAGCGCCCGCGCCCUCGCCUCUAGCAGCCGCAGACGCAGCCGCAGCCGCAGCCGCCGCCCGGGGCAUUGGCCCCCAAGCCCCCGCCCCUGAUCGACUCGGGACCCGGCGCCGAAGCACCAUGGCGGGCCAGGGGGACUGCUGCGUCAAGGUGGCCGUCAGGAUCCGGCCCCAGCUGUCAAAAGAGAAGAUUGAGGGCUGCCACAUCUGCACGUCGGUCACCCCGGGGGAGCCGCAGGUCCUCCUGGGGAAGGACAAGGCCUUCACCUAUGACUUUGUGUUCGACCUGGACACCUGGCAGGAGCAGAUUUACUCUACCUGCGUGAGCAGGCUCGUGGAGGGCUGCUUCGAGGGCUACAAUGCCACGGUGCUGGCCUACGGGCAGACGGGGGCCGGGAAGACGUAUACUAUGGGCACCGGUUUCGACGUGGCGAUGGCGGAGGAGGAGCAGGGCAUCAUCCCGAGGGCCAUCGCGCACCUCUUCGGGGGCAUCGCCGAGCGCAAGCGGCGGGCACAGGAGCAGGGGGUGGCCGGGCCCGAGUUCAAAGUCAGCGCCCAGUUCCUGGAGCUCUACAACGAGGAGAUCCUCGACCUCUUCGACAGCGCCCGCGACCCUGACGCCCGCCACCGCAGGUCCAACAUCAAGAUCCACGAGGACGCCAACGGCGGCAUCUACACCACGGGCGUCACCGCCCGCCUCGUCAGCUCCCAGGAGGAGCUGAUCCAGUGCCUGAAGCAGGGCGCCCUGUCGCGCACCACGGCCAGCACCCAGAUGAACGUGCAGAGCUCCCGCUCCCACGCCAUCUUCACCAUCCACGUGUGCCAGAUGCGCCUGUGCACCCGGCCCGACCUGGUGAACGAGGCCGUGACCGGGCUUCCCGACGGCACCGCUCCCUCCGGCGAGUAUGAGACGCUCACCGCCAAGUUUCACUUUGUGGACCUGGCCGGCUCAGAGCGGCUGAAGCGGACGGGGGCCACAGGCGAGCGGGCCAAGGAGGGCAUCUCGAUCAACUGCGGCCUGCUGGCCUUGGGCAACGUGAUCAGCGCCUUGGGGGACCAGAGCAAGAAAGUGGUGCACGUGCCCUACAGGGACUCCAAGCUCACCCGGCUCCUCCAGGACUCGCUGGGCGGGAACAGCCAGACCAUCAUGAUCGCCUGCGUGAGCCCCUCUGACCGGGACUUCAUGGAGACGCUCAACACGCUCAAAUACGCCAACCGAGCCCGCAACAUCAAGAACAAGGUGGUGGUGAACCAGGACAAGACCAGCCAGCAGAUCAGUGCGCUGCGGGCCGAGAUUGCGCGCCUGCAGAUGGAGCUGAUGGAGUACAAGGCGGGCAAGAGGGUGAUCGGGGAGGAUGGCGCCGAGGGCUACAGUGACCUGUUCCGGGAGAACGCGAUGCUGCAGAAGGAGAACGGGGCCCUGCGCCUGCGGGUCAAGGCCAUGCAGGAGGCCAUCGAUGCCAUCAACAGCCGUGUCACACAGCUCAUGAGCCAGGAGGCCAACCUGCUCCUGGCCAAGGCUGGAGACGGCAGCGAGGCCAUCGGUGCUCUGAUCCAGAACUACAUCCGGGAGAUUGAGGACCUGCGGACCAAGCUCCUGGAGAGCGAGGCCAUGAACGAGUCCCUGCGUCGCAGCCUCUCUCGGGCCUCGACCCGGGGUCCCUACUCCCUGGGCGCGUCCCCGGUCGUCCCGACCGGCUCCAUGGAGGAUGCCGCUGAGGUCAUCCGCCGAGCCAAGCAGGACCUGGAGAGGCUCAAGAAGAAGGAGGUCAGGCAGCGGAGAAAGAGCCCAGAGAAGGAAGCCUUCAAAAAGAGGGCAAAACUCCAACAGGAGAACAGCGAGGAGACCGAUGACAAUGAGGCCGAGGAGGAGGACGAGGAGCCGGAGGAGAGCGGCCGUGAGGACGAGGACUCGGGCAGCGAGGAGAGCCUGGUGGACUCGGACUCCGACCCCGAGGACAAGGAGGUGAACUACCAGGCUGACCUGGCCGACCUGACGUGCGAGAUCGAAAUCAAGCAGAAGCUGAUUGACGAGCUGGAGAACAGCCAGCGGCGGCUCCAGACGCUCAAGCACCAGUACGAGGAGAAGCUGAUCCUGUUGCAGAACAAGAUCCGGGACACGCAGCUGGAGCGGGACCGCGUGCUGCAGAACCUCAGUACCAUGGAGUGCUACACGGAGGAGAAGGCCAACAAGAUCAAGGCGGACUAUGAGAAGAGGCUGCGGGAGAUGAACCGGGACCUGCAGAAGCUGCAGGCUGCGCAGAAGGAGCACGCGCGGCUGCUCAAGAACCAGUCUCGCUACGAGAGGGAGCUCAAGAAGCUGCAGGCCGAGGUGGCCGAGAUGAAGAAGGCCAAGGUGGCCCUGAUGAAGCAGAUGCGGGAAGAGCAACACCGUCGGCGGCUGGCGGAGACCAAGAGGAACCGGGAGAUCGCACAGCUCAAGAAGGAGCAGCGGCGGCAGGAGUUUCAGAUCCGAGCUCUGGAGUCCCAGAAGCGGCAGCAGGAAAUGGUCCUGAGGAGGAAAACCCAGGAGGUUUCUGCACUGAGGCGUCUGGCCAAGCCCAUGUCUGAGCGGGUGGCAGGCCGAGUGGGACCGAAGUCACCCGUGCUGGACUCGGGCGCCGAGGUGUCGGCCAGCACCACCUCGUCCGAGGCCGAGUCGGGGGCGCGCUCCGUCUCCACCAUCGUGCGCCAGUGGGACCACAAGAUCAGCCACUUCUUGGAGAACCACCCCAUGCCCACCGUGUCUGGCGCCCGCCCUGCCAGAAAGAAGUUCCAGAAGAAGGGGGCCGGCCAGAGCUUCAGCAAGGCCGCCAGGCUCAAGUGGCAGUCGCUGGAGCGGAGGAUCGUCGACAUCGUCAUGCAGAGGAUGGCCAUCGCCAACCUGGAGGCUGACAUGGAGCGGCUCAUCAAGAAAAGGGAGGAGCUGUCCCUCCUGCAGGAGGCCUUGAGGAGGAAGCGGGAGCGGCUGCAGGCCGAGAGCCCGGAGGAGGAGAAGGGUCUGCAGGAGCUGGCAGAGGAGAUCGAGGUGCUGGCGGCCAACAUCGACUACAUCAACGACAGCAUCGGCGACUGCCAGGCCACCAUUGUGCAGCUGGAGGAGACCAAGGAGGAGCUGGACUCCACAGACACGUCGGUGGUCAUCAGCUCCUGCUCCCUGGCCGAAGCCCGCCUCCUGCUAGACAACUUCCUCAAGGCGUCCAUCGACAAGGGGCUGCAGGUGGCCCAGAAGGAGGCCCAGAUCCGGCUGCUGGAGGGACGGCUGAGGCAGACAGACAUCGCGGGCCCCUCCCAGAACCACCUGCUGCUUGACGCCCUGCGCGAGAAGGCCGAGGCCCAUCCCGAGCUGCAGGCCCUCAUCCACAACGUGCAGCAGGAGAACGGCUACGCCAGCACAGAUGAGGAGGUGUCUGAGUUCUCGGAGGGGAGCUUCUCCCAGUCAUUCACCAUGAAAGGCUCCACCAGCCAUGACGACUUCAAGUUCAAGGGUGAGCCUAAGCUGUCCGCCCAGAUGAAGGCCGUGUCUGCCGAGUGCCUGGGACCCCCGCUGGAGGUGUCCACCAAGAACAUCACCAAGUCCCUGGCCUCCCUCGUGGAGAUCAAAGAGGACGGAGUGGGCUUCUCCAUCCGAGAUCCCUACUACCGGGACAAGGUCUCUCGGACCAUCAGCCUGCCCAGCAGAGGGAGCACUUUCCCCCGGCAGUCUCGAGGAGCGGAGACGUCCCCUCUGACCCGAAGGAAGUCAUAUGACCGAGGGCAGCCCAUCAGGUCCACAGACGUGGGGUUCACGCCCCCCUCGUCCCCUCCCACUCGGCCCCGGAACGACCGAAACGUCUUCUCUCGUCUCACCAGUAACCAGAGCCAGGGGUCGGCGCUGGACAAGUCUGAUGACAGCGACUCCUCUUUGUCGGAGGUCCUGAGGGGCAUCAUCACCCCGGUCGGAGGAGCCAGGGGCGCGCGGACGGCCCCGCUGCAGUGCGUCUCCAUGGCCGAGGGCCACACCAAGCCCAUCCUCUGCCUGGACGCCACGGAUGAGCUGCUCUUCACAGGGUCCAAAGACCGCAGCUGUAAGAUGUGGAACUUGGUGACGGGGCAGGAGAUCGCAGCUCUGAAGGGUCACCCCAGCAACGUGGUCUCCAUCAAGUACUGCAGCCUCUCUGGGCUCGUGUUCUCCGUGUCCACCUCCUACAUCAAGGUGUGGGACAUCCGAGACUCGGCCAAGUGCGUCCGGACCCUCACGUCCUCAGGCCAGGUGGUCUCAGGGGACGCCUGUGCGGCUGCGUCCACCCGCACCAUCACCAGCGCUCAGGGAGAGCACCAGAUCAACCAGAUUGCCCUCAGCCCCUCGGGCAGCAUGCUGUAUGCCGCUUCAGGCAACGCCGUCCGCAUCUGGGAGCUCAACAGGUUCCAGCCCGUCGGCAAGCUGACUGGCCACAUCGGCCCUGUGAUGUGCCUGACGGUCGCCCAGACCGCCAGCCAGCACGACCUGGUGGUGACCGGCUCCAAGGACCACUACGUUAAGAUGUUCCAGCUGGGCGAGUGUGUGACGGGCACCGUCGGCCCCACCCACAACUUCGAGCCCCCGCACUACGACGGCAUCGAGUGUCUGGCCAUCCAGGGGGACGUCCUGUUCAGCGGCUCCCGGGACAACGGCGUCAAGAAGUGGGACCUGGCGCAGCAGGAGCUCAUGCAGCAAAUCCCCACGGCGCACAAGGACUGGGUGUGCGCCCUGGCCUUCGUCCCGGGCCGCCCCAUGCUGCUGAGCGCCUGCCGCGCAGGUGUCAUCAAGGUCUGGAACGUCGACAACUUCACGCCCAUUGGCGAGAUCAAGGGCCACGACAGCCCCAUCAAUGCCAUGUGCACCAACGCCAGGCACAUCUUCAGCGCCUCCAGUGACUGCCGGGUAAAGUUGUGGAAUUACGUCCCUGGACUCACCCCCUGCCUUCCGCGCCGAGUCCUGGCCAUAAAGGGCCGAGCCACCACCCUGCCCUGACCUCCGCGCCCCUCCGCUCUCCUCUCUCCACCCCCAUCCUCCCCCUCUUUCCUUUCCCCUCUUUCUCCACUUCGAUCUGAGCUGCUUCUUAACGUGACCUGACAGUGAAGUUCUGGAGUGCCCGGCGCCUGGUACCCAGCGGCCCCCACUAGGAGUGAGCUCAGAGGACAGCCUGACCCUCGGCCCAGCGGGGCGGCGCCCGGGGGACAGAGGCUGUGGGCCUCCUGCCCGCCUUCCUCUCCCUGACCUUCCCACAGGACACUGCCCCCUCCCUGCCCCGCCUCUUGGGGACAGGGAGGUCGGGGAGCUAAUUAAGCUGUGAAGCCAAAUUCCCCUCAUUUCUCUCCCUGCAGCCUGCCCCCACCCCCCCACCUGUCCCGUGUUCUCUUGCCGAGCUGGCCGCGCCCUUCCUCCAGCCUUGGCCCGGGGGGCCUGUCUGGGAGGUGGGGCAGCCCUCUCCGUGCCCCUCCGGCCAGCAGGCCUCCCCUACAUUCUCUGGCCCAGCCACUGCACCUGCCUCUGAGCCCAGAAAGAUAGCCCUCAGGUAACCAUGGAAACCAGGUGCAGGCAGCUGGCCCUGCAGCUGACCUUAGCCCCUCGGCCACCAGUGGCCACUCCCCGUGGACCCCAGCAAUUCUUUGGGUCCCUUUCUGCUGGGGCCACGGUGGAGCUGCUAGAAAGAUUCCUUUGGGGAGAUGGUCAGCGUCCUUCAGUUAUUUAAUUUAUUUUUUAGUUUUAUUUUUGCUGUUGCCUCCUGGAAACUGACUUGAAGUUUCUUCCCACAAGCUUGUUCCUUCAGCUCUUAGGGGCCAGCAGUCCCGGAGGGGAUCCGCCCCCCGCCCUCCAUUUGCUUUGCAGAGGAGGGCGGCUCCCCUUUGACUCUGCAGCCUGGGCCCGUCCCCGACCUCACCCGGGGGGCCGCUCUAGUGCCCCCGCCUCCGGCCGCUUGGCGCGUCAGUGCCUUCCUACGCCGGGGCCUGGCACCCGCCCCGGGCAGCCUUACACCAGCCAUGCCCGCAGAGCCACAUGUGUCUUCUCACCCGCGGGGUCUCCUGCCCGCUGUCCCCACUCCCAGAACCCCGGGUGGGCCACGUAGGAAGCAGCUCGGAAGACUGUCCACCAUGAAGGGGCUUGGACGGCACGCCCGGCCUGGCCCCUCCCCAGCCCCCCUGCAUCUCCCCCCGGCCAGGCAGAGCCCCUGGCGUCUUUCCCUGGUUAUUCAGGAGACUUGCGUUCAAGCCUUAACUGGCACGGGCCAGGGUCUCUCCCUGUAGGGCCAGCGGUGAGGAUGGACUCCACUGAGUUUCUCCUUUCCUGGGGGCUGUGGACUCCCCGCUCCCGGGAUGUUGUUCAAUCCGCAUUCUUUUUCUUUUUACACACUUUCUCUGACGCUUAACUGGUCUUGCGCUUCCUGGCCUCACUCAGUCUGAGGGCCGGGAGUCCCAGCUCUGUUCAGAAGACGCAGUGACUUUUGGAUCUUCCGGAGGUGGCCCUGUGCUCUCCCCUCGGUGCCCCUCCCCACGUGGCCAGGGCAGAACUCGCCCUGUCCCCACUGCUCCGAGCUGCCCCCCAGCUCAGAAAGCCGUCCUGCUGUGAGGGCCCCCUGCUGGACUUGGGGUCGACGAUGGGGGAGCAGACGUGCAGCAGGGACACGCCCAGAGCCGGGACAGUGUCUUCAGGACUGGAAAUCCCUCCUGCUGGGCCAUCGCGGGGGUGCCGGGAGCCCCCUCGGCCACUCAGAAGUGGGUGCAAUUCUCCUCUCGGGCCCCGGCCCUCCCCCCACCUCAACAGAAAGCUUCACCCUUGCCUCCUGUAAGGAAGAAUCUGCGUGACUGUUUACAAGCUGUAGAAACACAAGGCUGGAGGCCUCGGCCUGGGGCCAGCGGGCAGCGGCCGCAGGCCUGUCCUUGCACAGACGGGCCCUUGGGCCCGCGAGAGGUGCUCAGAGGCCCUGCCCGUUUCCUGCUGCUUCUCGUGGGUCAGCUACCUCACGGCAGGCUGGCUCUGCUGUCCUGGCGGGAAGCACUGACUCUGAACUUGAGGUCUCGGGAGCCUCUCCCAGCUGUGCUCCAGAGCACUGAAGUCUGCCCGCUCCUUCGGGGAUGGGCUGGGUACAUGGUUGGGGGGCCCCCAGCGCCCCUCGAUGCACAAGCAUCCUCAAUGUGGAAGCACAAAAUGGUUGUGAUUUGAGCACAAGCCAGGGCUGGUGGCAGGCGGCCUGGGCAAACCCGGCCGGGAGGCUCCUCCCAGGAGGCUCUGCCCAGCGGGAGACCGAGGACGCCCGCUUCAGGGGCUGCCCUCGCUCCGACAGGGCUCGGCCCGCAGCCUGUCCUGAUUCCGGGACGCAUCCUACUACUUCCGCCCUGCUGUGCCCACCCAAAGGCUUGCAGGGCUGGGGGCCCCGGAGUGGCGCCCUUUUUCCCCGACAUCCCGAAUUGUUGAAUGCUCGAUCCCAGGUCCAUCCCAGCCCUACUGACCCGUAUCCUGUCCCGGGGCUGAGCCCCGGGAAAGCUCUCAAAGCUGGCUGGCAAGCGCCCCUGACGGGACCGUCUUCCGGCCACUGCCCACGGCCUUCUCAGCGCGGUCCUGGGCCAGGCCUCUGCUCAACGUUAACCAGGCCAGCGUUCACUUCCAUCUGCAGGGCUGGCUCCUCCGAGGCACCUGGAGUUGACUCGAGCUUGCCAAGGAGAGGGGAAGGCUGAGAGAGGCCAGCACGCCCGAGCCUUUGAGGCGGUCCGGGUGCCGCCUUCCACCCCGUGGGAGGCCAUCUGUGGGUCCAGGCAUGGUCCGGCCCUGCUGCCCGCCAGGGGCUGGGUGGCUCGGGCAGAGGGAGUUUAAAGCACAAACCACCGGAGGGAGGACUGUCGCCAGGACCUGCUCACGCCACCCGGGGUGGCGGAGACGCGGGCAGGGCUGCUGUACGGUCAGGGAGUCCUGGCCUCUCCCACCGUUGCGGGGCCUGGCUCCCGGGCGUCCUCUGAAGCGGUCUGGGCUGGGUGCCGGCACACCCCCUGGUCGUUCAUCCCCACGUCGCCCGGUGUGCUCACCACCGUGUUGUGUGGCCAGGGCCUGCCCUGCCAGAGUGCUGAGCUCCUUCCCGCCAAGUGGCCCAAACCCAGCGCCUCUGUCCCUUUGCACCCCAAGCAGCCAGGGCUUGGCUGCCACCCCCCACAAUCCCUCCUCUUUUGGCUCCCAAACCCUUCCCAACCCUCUGAUGUGCAAAGAUAGAGUUGACAGGGAAAGUUCUGAUUCUUCUAAGACAUCUUUGUUCUACUCCCCCUCCCCCAGUGAUCAGAGGAGCUCCCAGCUGCACCACACCCCAGUUCAGCCCUUUGAACUCCUGUCCCGAGGGCCUUGCAGGGAAGCAGGGGCAGUUCCGGGAAGAGCCGAGGGUCAGAGAAGACCCCUGCCGUGAAGCCCUGCCCUGCCCACCAGCUCUUUUCUAGCUAUCCCCUGCCCGGGCGCAGGGUUGCGUUUGGUUCAGCUCCUCCGCUGGGUGGUAGCACAGGUGUAUAUAUGUUUUGUACGUCUGCCGAUGACUGUACAUAGUGUAUGAAAGUUAUUUAAACCUCAUGCUGUACAUUUCUGUUCCCGGACCAGAUGUGAGUGUUCUAAGAAGCUGUCAUAAAUAAAACGCGAAUGACCCUUGUC